UACGAAGGGGGCGAGCGUUGUUCGGAAUUACUGGGCGUAAAGGGCGCGUAGGCGGCGAUCCGAGUCAGAUGUGAAAGUCCUGGGCUUAACCUGGGGACUGCAUUUGAUACUGGAUUGCUUGAAUUCGGGAGAGGAUAGCGGAAUUCCCAGUGUAGAGGUGAAAUUCGUAGAUAUUCGCAAGAACACCAGUGGCGAAGGCGGCUCACUGGCCCGGUACUGACGCUGAGGUGCGAAAGCGUGGGGAGCAAACAGG
rnacentral:rRNA from 1 species